rnacentral:rRNA from 1 species
GAUGAACGCUGGCGGCGUGCCUAAUACAUGCCAGUCGAGCGAACAGACGAGGAGUUUGCUCCUCUUACGUUAGCGACGGACGGGUGAGUAAGACGUGGAUAACCUACUUAUAAGGCUGGGAUAACUUCGGGCAACCGGUGCUACUACCGGGUAAUAUCUUGAGCCUCAUGGUUGAAUAGAGAAAGCCGCGUUUGCUGUCAGUUUUAGAUGGAUUCGCGCCGCAUUAGCUGGUUGGUAAGGUAACGGCUUAGCAAGGCAGCCAUGCGUAGCCGAAGGGCGAGGGUGGUCGGCCACAUUAGAGCUGGAACACGGACAAUACUCCUACGGGAGGCAGCAGUAGGGAACGUUCGGCAGUGGGCGGAAGCCUGACGCAGCAGGCCCGCGUGUGAGAUGAAGGUCUUGGGAUCGUAAAGCUCUGCUAUUGGUGAAGAACAGAUGUGUAAUUAAACAUGGACGGCGUGACGGUACCGGAUCAGAAAGCACCGGCUAACUACGUG